AACGUGCUCCGGGGUCGGUGGAAAUCCGAGCCGGCGGUGAGAGUCCGCGACCCGAGCCCUCCGCCCGCCGGGCGGAUCGGCUCGGCUGAGCCGGUGGGAUUCCGGCACCGACGGUGAAAGUCCGGAUGGGAGGAAGCACGGG
rfam:Actinomyces denticolens strain PA genome assembly, contig: Ga0104373_116